rnacentral:tRNA from 1 species
GCCCCCGUAGUUCAAGUGGAUAGAACGCAGCCCUGCGGAGGCUGUAAUCUGAGUUCGAGUCUCAGCGGGGGCA